CCACGCUGUAAACGAUGAGUGCUAGAUUUUGGUAGUCAAAUAUCAGAAUCGAAGUUAACAUAUUAAGCACUCCGCCUGGGGAGUACGUGCGCAAGCAUGAAACUCAAAGGAAUUGACGGGGACCCGCACAAGCAGCGGAGCAUGUGGUUUAAUUCGAAGCAACGCGAAGAACCUUACCAGGACUUGACAUACUAGUGCCAGGUAUAGAGAUAUACCCUUAUCUUAGAUACACUAAUACAGGUGGUGCAUGGUUGU
rnacentral:rRNA from 1 species